rnacentral:lncRNA from 1 species
GGGUUGUUUUAUGUCUUGGGCUCAAGUCUGUGUGAGAGCUCAAAGAGAGUCUGCUGAUUGUCGAUGAGGUGCAGGUAAUUGAUGUACGUUCUCACUUCCAUGCUGUCCUUCUGGAAUAACAAGUUUCCUGAUGACAAAAAAAAAUAAUAAUAAUAAGGUUGCCACAGAGGAAUGAACCCCCAACUAUUCCAGCAGAUGUUUUAUGCAGCAGAUGCCUUUCCAGUCCCAACACAUUACUGGGAAACACCCAUAUACUCAUUUCCACACACAAAGCAGAGGUAGGAAAGGGAUCUUGGGAGACUUCAUCUUCCUGAAGGCAUCUCUGUAGGCUUUGUGGUUUAACGAAGGGUCCUACGGGUCAUCAGAAAAGCAUUCAUGUGUAUACAUAUUUAAGUGUUUGUAUUACUUUUCACCGAAAGCAUCUGGUGCAUCUCAGACUCUUCCCUCUGUACCGCCACCUGCUAUUUCCUCCCUGGAGGCCAAAGGCUUUGAUAUGAUUACGCUUUCAUAUAUUACAUCCUAAUGAGCCGUAAACAGCACAAAAUACUACAGCAGGAGGUGAACUAGCAGGAGGCAACUUAGGAGUGUGAUGAGACAAUCACUUACCGUCAGGCUCUCCAGCUCGGAGAACAACUUCCUGAACUUCCCAGGGACUUUCUGAAAUGAGGACAGUUUGAAAAUAUCAGAAGAAUUGAAGUUAACGUGUCUGUUAAGCAGAGCUUGCAGUACCUUAAAUGCAUUAAGUUUAAGAGCAAUUCAUGAUAAAUACCACUGCGCAUAUAAAGCAAUGUAUUUCUGUGCAC